rnacentral:tRNA from 1 species
GCCGGGGUGGUGGAAUUGGUAGACACCUGGGACUUAAAAUCCCAUGCCCGCAAGGGCGUGCCGGUUCGACUCCGGUCCCCGGCA